rnacentral:rRNA from 1 species
GACGAACGCUGGCGGCGUGCUUAACACAUGCAAGUCGAACGGAAAGGCCUCUUUCGGGGGGUACUCGAGUGGCGAACGGGUGAGUAACACGUGAGUAACCUGCCCUUGACUUUGGGAUAACUUCAGGAAACUGGGGCUAAUACCGGAUAGGAGCUCCUGCGGCAUGGUGGGGGUUGGAAAGUUUCGGCGGUUGGGGAUGGACUCGCGGCUUAUGAGCUUGUUGGGGGGGUAGUGGCUUACCAAGGCUUUGACGGGUAGCCGGCCUGAGAGGGUGACCGGCCACAUUGGGACUGAGAUACGGCCCAGACUCCUACGGGAGGCAGCAGUGGGGAAUAUUGCACAAUGGGUGGAAGCCUGAUGCAGCAACGCCGUGUGCGGGAUGACGGCCUUCGGGUUGUAAACCGCUUUCGCUCAUGACGAAGCUUUGUGUGACGGUAGUGGGUAAAGAAGCACCGGCUAACUACGU